CCUACGGGAGGCAGCAGUGGGGAAUAUUGGGCAAUGGGAGGAAUCCUGACCCAGCGACGCCGCGUGAACGAUGAAGGCCUUAGGGUUGUAAAGUUCUUUUAUGUGGGAAGAAGGAAGUGACGGUACCACAUGAAUAAGCCCCGGCUAACUACGUGCCAGCAGCCGCGGUAAUACGUAGGGGGCGAGCGUUGUCCGGAAUUACUGGGCGUAAAGGGCACGCAGGCUGUGAUUCAAGUCAGCUGUAAAAGGAUGCGGCUUAACCGUGUUUAGCAGUUGAAACUGGAUGACUGGAGUGCUGGAGAGGCAAGUGGAAUUCCCAGUGUAGCGGUGAAAUGCGUAGAUAUUGGGAAGAACAUCGGUGGCGAAGGCGACUUGCUGGCCAGUAACUGACGCUGAGGUGCGAAAGCCAGGGUAGCAAACGGGAUUAGAUACCCCAGUAGUC
rnacentral:rRNA from 1 species